rnacentral:rRNA from 1 species
UAAACGCUGGCGGUGCGCCUUAUGCAUGCAGUCGAGCGAAGCUUUUCAGUAGUUUACUACAGAAAAUGACUGAGCGGCGAACGGGUGAGUAACGCGUGAGCAAUCUACCUUAGUUACAGGGAUAGCCCGAGGAAACUCGGAUUAAUACCUGAUAUUCUUUAUUUCUCGCAUGAGAAUAAAAGGAAAGGUCAGCCGAACUAAGAUGAGCUCGCGUUCUAUCAGCUAGUUGGUGAGGUAAAAGCUCACCAAGGCUACGACGGAUAGCUGGUCUGAGAGGACGAUCAGCCACACUGGGACUGAGACACGGCCCAGACUCCUACGGGAGGCUGCAGCAGGGAAUAUUGCGCAAUGAGCGAAAGCUUGACGCAGCGACACCGCGUGUGGGAUGACGGAUCUAGGUUUGUAAACCACUUUCAGGAGGGAAGAAAAUGACGGUACCUCCACAAGAAGCUCCGGCCAACUACGUGCCAGCAGCCGCGGUAAUACGUAGGGGGCGAGCGUUGUCCGGAUUUAUUGGGCGUAAAGAGCUCGUAGGCGGUUCAACAAGUCGGUCGUGAAAGUUCAGGGCUCAACCCUGAAAUGUCGAUCGAUACUGUUGUGACUAGGAUACGGUAGAGGUGAGUGGAAUUCCGAGUGUAGCGGUGAAAUGCGUAGAUAUUCGGAGGAACACAAUAGCGAAGCAGAUCCUGGGCCGAUAUCGACGCU